ACAUAGGGUGCGAGCGUUAAUCGGAAUUACUGGGCGUAAAGGGUGCGCAGGCGGUUUUGUAAGUCAGAUGUGAAAUCCCCGAGCUCAACUUGGGAACUGCGUUUGAAACUACAAGACUAGAGUGUGUCAGAGGGGGGUAGAAUUCCACGUGUAGCAGUGAAAUGCGUAGAUAUGUGGAGGAAUACCAAUGGCGAAGGCAGCCCCCUGGGAUAACACUGACGCUCAUGCACGAAAGCUAGGGUAGCAAAUGGG
rnacentral:rRNA from 1 species